rnacentral:rRNA from 1 species
CUUAAUUUGACUCAACACGGGAAACCUCACCCGGCCCGGACACGGACAGGAUUGACAGAUUGAUAGCUCUUUCUCGAUUCCGUGGGUGGUGGUGCAUGGCCGUUCUUAGUUGGUGGAGCGAUUUGUCUGGUUAAUUCCGAUAACGAACGAGACUCUGGCAUGCUAACUAGUUACGCGACCCCCGAGCGGUCGGCGUCCCCCAACUUCUUAGAGGGACAAGUGGCGUUCAGCCACCCGAGAUUGAGCAAUAACAGGUCUGUGAUGCCCUUAGAUGUCCGGGGCUGCACGCGCGCUACACUGACUGGCUCAGCGUGUGCCUACCCUACGCCGGCAGGCGCGGGUAACCCGUUGAACCCCAUUCGUGAUGGGGAUCGGGGAUUGCAAUUAUUCCCCAUGAACGAGGAAUUCCCAGUAAGUGCGGGUCAUAAGCUUGCGUUGAUUAAGUCCCUGCCCUUUGUACACACCGCCCGUCGCUACUACCGAUUGGAUGGUUUAGUGAGGCCCUCGGAUCGGCCCCGCCGGGGUCGGCCCACGGCCCUGGCGGAGCGCUGAGAAGACGGUCGAACUUGACUAUCUAGAGGAAGUAAAAGUCGUAACAAGGUAUC